rnacentral:lncRNA from 1 species
CAUCACUCUUGAGUAGGAACAGAGCCUUCCCAUCAAUUUCCUACAGAGAGAAGGAAAUCAUAAUCAUUAAUAAUGCUUUCAUAUCAAAUUAUUUAUACAUAAGAACAUGUAAAAUACAGCAGCUGUAUACUCCGGAUAUAUAUUCUCUGAAUAUGCUUUAUUUCCUGAAAACUAUUAAAAAUAUAAUUUAUACAGUGAAGCAUCAUUUGAUAAUUUAUGAAUUUAGUUCAAACUUUAAGAAAAUUUAAUCUUGUAUCUUCAAAAAAUGUCCCAAGUAUCAAACAAUCUGACUUUAAAUACUGUGUGUUAAAUAAAAUACUAAAUAUAUCUAUGACAAAAGAUCAAAAAUUAUGAAUGGUAGAAAUGAAUUUCAGAUGAUCAAUAACUUUCUGAGAAGGGCCAGGAAUAUGUCAAUAUCAAUGCAAACUGUAAAUGUGCUAUACAGUGUUGUCAUUAUGUUGAAGGCUAAUCAGUUAGUUGUCUGAAGCUGGUUAGAUGCUAAAACUACUGAUUUUCUUGCGAUAGUGAAAAGGGUACCUCAGAUAAUAGAUCACUCAUUUGAUUUGUUAGAAAACACUGAAAAUAUUACUUAAUAGUCACAAGGCAUCCUCCUAAAAUUCUUUAUUACCUUAAUCAAUUUAUGUCAUGGAAGCAUAUUAUUUGGUAUUUGUGAGUUCCUGUUUAAAAGGAUGUACUUAAUCUUAUAAAGUUGCUGGAUUCACUGGAGGAAGGCCACCCUGUAAUAGCUUGUGGUCAACCCCUCCUACUCAUGGUUCUGGCACUGAGCUGGGAGCAGGUCGGGGAGGAUCCUUGUAUCUGUCAUCACAAAGGGAAGGUACACCUGAGAGUUGCAAUGCUGAAUCAUCGUAUCUUGAGAAGUUGAAGCAGUUUGUAUUUUAGGCACCUGGAUACUCACUUAAAGAACAGACCAUUAAUCUACCAUUUAAGGAACUAAUCUUGGGAAAAAUAACCUCUCUCACAUAUGGAAAAAUCAGUUGAUAGGGUUCCCCCACCAUCCACACAGCAUCCAAAUGAAGGGCCUGCACAGAGGUCAUUCAAAGGCAUUACGGCAGGAAAACCGGAUCAAAAGAUACAUUACAUGUUGCCUGAAGAGGUCGGCGAGGGGGCCUGAUAUCUGAGGAUCUGUAUGUUUCAUAAACUGUAUCACUUCAUCCACAGACCAGGUUGAAGGGUCCUUAGAGAAGCCUUGUUUCAGGACACUGGGAUCAGGUACAGCUAUAUAACUUGGAGCUUCAAUGGGGGGGAAAAAAGACAAAUCAUACUUGACCUGAUCAUUAUCCUGAAAGAAGAGAUGUUAGGUAGGGAAUAAUGGUCUCAUUCCUGGAACCUUUUGUUAAGUUCCCCAACAAGGUCUCAAGACUCCAACUGUGAAAGCUUAUACAAAAAUGAUGUGAGGAUGGCUACAUAAGAGCAUCCCAUCUGACCUCCCCCAAACAACAAAAGCAGGUUCAGACGUUACCUUAAAGCUUCAAAGAUCACAAAACAGACUAAGCAAUCCAAGCCUCUUUGGCCACAGACAAAUACAGCAAAAGAUCUGUUACUCGGGUAAAAUUAGGUUAAUCUAAUCUAACCUAUGACUUCUCUCUUACUUUAAGUCUUUCAAGGAAUUUCAAUCUCUCUCUAUCUGUCUAGACUAGGUAUAUUUUACUAGCUAAAUCCGAUGGAAAUUCCCCAAAUUUACAGUUAGUUUUUGUUUUGUUUUGUUGUUGUUGUUGUUGUUUUGGUUUUUUUGAGACAGGGUCUCGCUCUGUUACCCAGGCUGGAGUGCAGUGGCACAAUCAUGGCUCACUGCAGCGCUGACCUCCCAGGCUCAAGUGAUCCUCCCACCUUGCCUCCCAAGUAGCUGGGACUACUGACACAUGCCACCACUUGCAGCUAAUCUUUAUAUUUUUUGUAGAGACAGGAUUUAUCCAUGUUGCCCAGGCUGGUCUCAAACUCCUGGACUCAAGCAAUCUGCCCACCUCAGGCCCCCAAAGUGCUGGAAUUACAGGCAUGAGCCACCAUACCUGGCUAAAUUUAGUUUUCUAAUUGCUUAAAUGUGUUCACUUUAAUCAAAGAAUUUCAAUAAUCCCAUUAUUUUUGAUAAACAAAUUAGUCCUUUUACCAAAUCUCUCUGAUGUAUCCAAUAAGAAUAUUUUUAGCAUCACUUUACUCUUUAGAUUCCUGUCUCUCAUGGCUUAAAUGCUUAUCUGAAUUUUGAAGAAGACAAGAUUAUUUUCUGCUAAGCUAGGUCAGAAAUAACUUUAACAUUUAAUUUAACUCCUUUAUCAUGUUUAAUUGCAUAGUAAUAGAUAUUUUGGUUGAAGGUUUAUACAUUAAAAAAAUACAUAACUGAGACAUGAAACAAUUUAAGUGCUCAUACCUCAAAUGGUCUUAGCUGUGCUCUUUACUAAGUUGUGAUAAAAUCUGUGUCCUGACAAGUAUUCAUUUACUCAACCAGAGCCCUUAACUCCCUAAAGUUAGUGUGGAUAACUGAAGUGAAUUUUGUACUUAGCUAGGAAGAUUUGUUUUGCUAACCAAGGACUGUCAACACAAAUUUGAUGUUUUUUUGUGUGUGAAUUAGCCAAAGGAGUACCCUUUCUUUCCUAUCCUCUGGACUAUGGCCAUUUUAGAAGCAUUUUAAGUAUAUUUACCUAGGGGAAGGAUAAAGAAAAACAGAAAAUAAAAGAACUUAUAGUGGUUAAUUUUUUGUGUGUAGCUCUGAAUUUUAUUUCUUUCCAACAUCACAACGAUGAUGUGAAAUAAAAACUCUAUACCAAAAUAUAUUCUCCCCUCCACUCAGAGAAAAAAAUGUUGGUCAUAUCUACAGAGAAAUUCUGCUAGGCUGUAUCAACCCAAGUAAAAAUGAUGAUGGUGUAGACCAUGCUGUGCCUAAGUUAGCAUUCUGACAAUUUAGACAGAAACACCAUCUCCUUUAACUUAACAAAGACACAACAUAACAUGAAAAAAAUCAUUGGCAAAGCUAAUCAUAUCUCUAAUUUAAUGUACAUUUUUGUGGAAUUUCUGGUUUCUGUCAUCAUAAUCUGGUACAUUUAUGUUUUGAAUAACAUGUAACUAGUUUUACAGUUUACUGCAAAUAAACUAUAUGUAAAAAGAUAUGAUUUGGGGUAUAAAAUUUUAUAUUAAAAAUAAAACCAUAAGAUUUUCUAUUUUUAGUCUAUUAUGAAAAUAUAAUUUAAUUGGGCCUACAUCUUCAAAACAAUCAGAGAAGUUUGCAAGCAUUACAUUAUUGUUAUUCAAAUAAUUACAUGAAACAAACUAAUCAUGUGAAAAAUAAUCAAAGUCCAGUCAUGCUUUUCUCCUGAACGGCUCUGUCUUAUAUACACUGGCAUAUCAAUAAAUAUUUCUAGAAUAAAUAUAAUGAAAGUAUGAAAGUGAUCUGAUCCCCCCCCCUCGACAUCAUUGGAUUUCUUUCCUAUAAUAAAGAUCAGCAAUAUUUUUCAUUCAAAUAAUGGGACAAGGCAGGACAGGAAAUUGUGUGAGCAUCACUGGCUGUCAGGAGUGGAAUUAGCUCUAGGUAACAGUUCAAAUGCCUUAAAAAUAAUAGUAAUGACACCUCUAGACAGUUUCUAAUGGAAAUGCGUAUCUAUUCUUGGGAGGUGCAAGGAGUACAGAAGUUAAGAGUACAACCCUGGAGUCAGAGUGUUUGAGCUCAAGGACUGGCCCAGCCACUUUCUAGCUGAGGAACCUUAGCCAAAUGACUUCAAAUUUCUUACCUGAAAAUGCUUACCAGCACCUACAUUUCAAGGAAUUGUUGUAACAAUAUAAUGUAGGAGGCCAUAUGAAAUAUUAUAUCCCUGGCAUACAUCAGAUAGUGAUGAAGAUGAUGAUUAUUUCUAUUACCAGUAAGUAAAUUACUAGAAAGCAAUGUUAUUACUAUUAGUCUCUACAUUGCUAAGAAGACCAGAAGCUAGCCGUCUGAUGCCCCAAUACCGGCUACCUUAGUGUUUGACAUACAUUUCAAAGUGAGAUAUUCACCAUUAGAAGUAACCUUAUACUGAGAAAGCCUAUCGCCAAAAGGUCAUACUUUGUGAAAAUACUUUAAAAUGCAAGGUAUACUAGCCAUUAUGGAGUAAGCAUCUAUUGUUAGACUCUGCAAGCUAUGUCACUCUAAAGGCAGAGACAAUCUCCAGAGGGGAUGGGGCUGACAACAUUAAAUGUGUCAUGGUGUGUGCACAGUGUGGUUGCCCAUAGAUAACACCCAUGAUCAAAGGCAAGGGUUCCCACUUCCUUCACUCCUCAACCUCGCCUGCAUGCCUACCUGGAGAAAAAGGACAAAACACUUAUUCCCACCCUCACUCUCCUGUACCCUUAAUCCUUCAAAGGUACAGGGUAUUAGCCCUCUUUGCACAUGGAAGGCCGUUUUGGCUCCUUUCUUUCUUUCUUCUUUCUUUUUGAGAUGGAGUUUCACUCCUGUUGCCUAGGCUGGAAUGCAAUGGCGCAAUCUCGGCUCACUGCAACCUCUGCCUCCCGGGUUCAAGUGAUUCUCCUGCCUCGGGCUCCCAAGUAGCUGGGAUUACAGGCAUGCAUCACCAUGCUCAGCUAAUUUUGUAUUUUUAGUAGAGACAGGGUUUCUCCACGUUGGUCAGGCUGGUCUCAAACUCCCGACUUCGGGUGAUCUGCCUGCCUCGGCCUCCCAAAGUGCUAGGAUUACAGGUGUGAGCCACCCCGCGCCUGGCCUGUUCUGGCUCUUUCUAAAUGGCAACAGGAUAUUGCCCUACUUAUACAUGUCAUGACUUCCUGGUGGGUCUGAGGAAGGAUGUGGAGAGUGAGGAAAUGGUGUGGCUGUGGUAACAAGAUGCCAGCCCGAAUCCAGGAGUCAACACAGGCUGAGGCCAGGAAUGUCUCAAGAGAGACGAAGAAAAGUGUACAACAGAAAGGAGAGGGACUGUCUUUCCAGGCCUCAGAGUCAUGAGAGGUUUGUGAGUCCAGACGGUACCCAAGGAAAUGAUAAAUUACAACUGUUCAAGCACUACUAAUCUGAGAAGUCUCUAUCAGAGACAUGGUUGGUGAUCCAGAUCCCUAGAGACAGUUCUGUGCUGUCAAGAGGAUUGGAGGAUCCAUAAUGGUCUGACCUGACAGUGAUGUGAAAGAGAGGACUCAGCCUCCCAAAUUUUAGCACUUUCUCCAAUGUGAUACUCUCAGGGGAUGCUGUUAGGUAUGAAAAUCUCAAGGCAAAAGACAAACACAUUGAGAGUCACUAUUUUUGAACAUACCUUCACUUUUCCUCUGCAUUUGGAAUUUAACUUCAUGGGGACUG